rnacentral:rRNA from 1 species
UACGUAGGGUGCGAGCGUUAAUCGGAAUUACUGGGCGUAAAGUGUGCGCAGGCGGCCGCGCAAGUCGAGUGUGAAAGCCCCGAGCUUAACUUGGGAAUUGCGCUCGAAACUACGUGGCUGGAGUGUGGCAGAGGAAGGUGGAAUUCCACGUGUAGCGGUGAAAUGCGUAGAGAUGUGGAGGAACACCAAUGGCGAAGUCAGCCUUCUGGGCCAACACUGACGCUCAUGCACGAAAGCGUGGGGAGCAAACAGG